AUGGUUGUUUAUUAUGCAUCAAUGUCCUUAAAAUUGAAUUCAAUGCUCGUUUUUAGUGUACAUGAUUGGACUACUUUCUGUCAUCACUGCUUUUAUAAGUACUGCUGUCUUAUACAAAGAAUAGAGUGUAUAUAUACAAACACAUGCGCCAGAUGCCAUUGCCACAUCCCUUAUAUUUUCCUCCAUACCUUUGAACAUAGUUCUAAUUGAUGCUUAAAAUCUGUGUCUGCUAGUUCACAAGGUGGGUCAUAUCAACAUUUAUGCUCAUUGAUUGCAUUUUAUCUUAAAUAUGGGCCACAAAUUCCUGCUUUUUCAUGUCUAAUAAAUUUGGAUUAUGUUCUGGACAUUUUGAAUAAUAUAUUGUGGAGUCUCUGGAUUCUAUUAUGUUCCAUGGAAAAGCACAAAUAUUUUGUUUCAUGGCUGAACUCAAACUCCAAGCCCUGCAAUCUCAUUUCACUUAUUUUAGCCUUAACUGAGCUGUUUAGAGUCUUUCCAGCACAUCCAUAGUUCAGAGGUCAGCUAGAGACUUGAAUAGAAUUUAUAUACCAGAUGUGCAGUUCCCUGUCUGUAACUCUCUCUUCUCCAGGGCUCUUCCCCCUUCACUUUCCAGUUGCUGAGUUUACUCUGGACUCAUUCUUUGCUUUCUCAUGCCAGAUAGACUGUAGGUUCAUUUCUAUAUUUUAGCAAACCAGCCUGGCCUGAUUACUUAAAAAUGUAACUGUGAAUGUUACUCAGUGCCUUUUACUUCUGCCAGGUAUGGAUCCCCCUCCUUGCUUUGUUUUGUUCAGUCUGUAGUAUCUUUAUGUAGUUGGUUGUUUAUAUAUUCCCAGAGUUUAGAGAUGCCCCUUGCAGGAAGUGUGGAUCAAUAGGAAUUACUAGGCCAUUACUAAAGCAGAAACUUUUUUCCAUUAGAAUUAAUAAGCUUCACAGGAUAAUAUAACUAUAUAUCAUAAGUGGUUUAAAUUCCCACUCAUAGCUUCUAAAUAUUCUUAAGGGCUUAUUUCAUAUUGACCAUCAUUUGACUCCAGCCUGUGCGUUUAUUCAUGCUUUCUCUGUUUUCCCUUGCACCAGUUUUGGUUUUAAACCUAACCUCUGCAAUAAUUUUCAACAAAAAGUAAUUUAAAAAAAAACAACAAAACCAAUAAUUUUUCUGAAAGCAAAUAGCAUCCCCUGCCCAUUGUCCUGCCUUUUGCUAGUCUCCAUACUCUCCUCAUUCUGGGUCCCACUCCAUACUUUAUGAAUGGUAAUUUUGCCCCACUUAGAGAUUUUGGUACCAAAAAUAUUUGAGUAGACCAGUGGUCUUAGCAAAGAACUCUUUCAAACAAAUGUAAAAUUGUUCCUAAAAGAAAUUAUUGUCUCAAGUCCAAAUAGAAUUGAAAAAUUCAAUUGU
rnacentral:lncRNA from 1 species